rnacentral:rRNA from 1 species
AUGCUUAACACAUGCAAGUCGAACGGAAACGACACUAACAAUCUUUCGGGUGCGUUAAUGGGCGUCGAGCGGCGGACGGGUGAGUAAUGCCUAGGAAAUUGCCUUGAUGUGGGGGAUAACCAUUGGAAACGAUGGCUAAUACCGCAUAGUGCCUACGGGCCAAAGAGGGGGAUCUUCGGACCUCUCGCGUCAAGAUAUGCCUAGGUGGGAUUAGCUAGUUGGUGAGGUAAUGGCUCACCAAGGCGACGAUCCCUAGCUGGUCUGAGAGGAUGAUCAGCCACACUGGAACUGAGACACGGUCCAGACUCCUACGGGAGGCAGCAGUGGGGAAUAUUGCACAAUGGGCGAAAGCCUGAUGCAGCCAUGCCGCGUGUAUGAAGAAGGCCUUCGGGUUGUAAAGUACUUUCAGUUGUGAGGAAGGGGGUAACGUUAAUAGCGUUAUCUCUUGACGUUAGCAACAGAAGAAGCACCGGCUAACUCCGUGCCAGCAGCCGCGGUAAUACGGAGGGUGCGAGCGUUAAUCGGAAUUACUGGGCGUAAAGCGCAUGCAGGUGGUUCAUUAAGUCAGAUGUGAAAGCCCGGGGCUCAACCUCGGAACUGCAUUUGAAACUGGUGAACUAGAGUGUUGUAGAGGGGGGUAGAAUUUCAGGUGUAGCGGUGAAAUGCGUAGAGAUCUGAAGGAACACCAGUGG